UGUAGGUGAAGAAACACUACAGCUCUUUCGCUUAACUGUUGCGGUCAGUUCAGACAACAUGGGUUCUGAACUAUACCUUCAUUCAGAUAGCUUUGCACAGUAUAUAGACUGCUUUGAUUGAGCAGUAAAGAGGGGAAGGGGAAAGUAAGAAAGAGACGAGAGAAAGAGAGAGAGAGAGAAAGAGAGAGAGACACACACACACAAGAGGGAAAGUGACCAUGUUUGUGUAGAUGAAUCAGACAACAGUCAAACCUGAGAAUAAGAAUGAGCUUCCUGCUGUUAAUUAGAAAACUUGUCACCGGACUUCUCUGGAACUGUUUCUUGCUACAGUCGGUUUUUGGAAGUCUCACCACUGACAACGGGAUCCAUUCCAGUUUCAUCCACGGGCGCCUAAAGAGCCAGGAAAAGCGGGAAAUGCAGAGAGAAAUCCUCUCGAUCCUGGGUUUGCCUCACCGCCCCAGGCCCCACCUGCAUGGCAAGCACAACUCAGCCCCUAUGUUCAUGCUGGACCUCUACAAUGCCAUGUUGAUGGAGGAGGCAGGAGGAUACUCGUAUCCGUAUAGGGCGGUCUUCACCACCCAGGGACCUCCGCUGGCCAGGUUACAUGACAGCACCUUCCUCAGUGAUGCCGAUAUGGUCAUGAGCUUCGUCAACCUGGUGGAAUAUGACAAGGAAAUUUUUCACCAGCGCCGACAUCACAGAGAGUUCAGGUUUGAUCUCUCAAAGAUCCCAGAGGGGGAGGCAGUGACAGCUGCAGAAUUCCGAAUCUAUAAAGACUAUACCAGGGAACGCUUUGAAAAUGAGACCUUCCAGAUAACAAUUUACCAGGUUCUGGAGGAAAACACAGAGAGUGAGUCCGACUUGUUUCCCCUGGAUUCUAGGACUAUCUGGGCUGCAGAGGAAGGGUGGUUGGUAUUCGAUAUUACAGCCACAAGUAAUCAUUGGGUCGUGAAUCCAAACAAUAACUUAGGUCUUCAGCUCUUUGUGCAGACAACAACUGGACAGAGUGUCAAUCCAAAGAUGGCCGGUCUGAUAGGAAGACUUGGGCCUCAGACUAAACAACCAUUCAUGGUUGCCUUCUUCAAAGCCACUGAGGUUCACAUCCGCAGUGCAAGAUCAGCAAGUGGUAAACAGAAGAACCAGGGCCGUUCUCGGUCUUCUAAGAGUCAGGAAUCUUUCAGAGCAACCAGCUUAACAGAGAACGGUAGCAGUGACCAACGACAGGCCUGCAUGAAGCAUGAGCUGUAUGUCAGCUUUCGUGACCUAGGAUGGCAGGAUUGGAUUAUAGCUCCCGAGGGAUAUGCUGCAUACUAUUGUGAAGGAGAAUGCUCAUUCCCAUUGAACUCAUACAUGAAUGCUACAAAUCAUGCAAUUGUUCAAACGCUGGUUCAUUUAAUAAACCCAGAGAAUGUCCCGAAGCCAUGCUGCGCUCCCACACAGCUCAACGCCAUAUCUGUGCUUUACUUUGAUGACAGCUCAAACGUUAUCUUGAAGAAGUACAGGAAUAUGGUGGUCAGAGCGUGUGGCUGUCAUUAGCACCAGCCAUGAAGAACCUCCAUCUGAUGGAUGUUGGAAAGACUGCUAGUCAUGGACCUCUCAUGAUAUGUCAACUUCUCUAAUGAUCUGAAGUUGUUUAAAGGAAUUUUUAACUGUUGCAAUCCAAAAAUGGUCUUCAAAGCCAAGAAGAACACUGAAUUGAGAAGAUCCCUUCCAUCACAACUCUACACCAUCCAGUUACGGAAGAAGACAAUUGGUAGGCUACUGACAAUGAAAGGCCA